GAUGAACGCUGGCGGCGUGCCUAAUACAUGCAAGUCGAGCGAACAGACGAGGAGCUUGCUCCUCCGACGUUAGCGGCGGACGUGUGAGUAACACGUGGAUAACCUACCUAUAUGACUGGGAUAACUUCGGGAAACCGGGGCUAAUACCGGAUAAUAUAUUGAACCGCAUGGUUCAAUAGUGAAAGACGGUUUUGCUGUCACUUAUAGAUGGAUCCCCGCCGCAUUAGCUAGUUGGUAAGGUAACGGCUUACCAAGGCGACGAUGCGUAGCCGAACUGAGAGGGUGAUAGGCGACACUGGAACUGAGACACCGUCCAGAGUCCUGAGGGAGGGAGCAGUAGGGAAUCUUCCGCAAUGGGCGGAAACCUGACGGAACAACGCGGCGUGAGUGAUGAAGGUCUUCGGAUCGUAAAACUCUGUUAUUAGGGAAGAACAAAUGUGUAAGUAAAUAUGCACGGCUUGACGGUACCUAAUCAGAAAGCCACGGCUAACUACGUG
rnacentral:rRNA from 1 species